GCCGAAUUAGCUCAGUGGUAGAGCGCUUCACUAGUAAUGAAGAGGUCACGGGUUCGAACCCCGUAUUCGGCU
rnacentral:tRNA from 1 species